GUGGGGAAUCUUCCGCAAUGGACGAAAGUCUGACGGAGCAACGCCGCGUGAACGAUGACGGCCUUCGGGUUGUAAAGUUCUGUUAUACGGGACGAAUGGUACGACGGUCAAUACCCGUCGUAAGUGACGGUACCGUAAGAGAAAGCCACGGCUAACUACGUGCCAGCAGCCGCGGUAAUACGUAGGUGGCAAGCGUUGUCCGGAAUUAUUGGGCGUAAAGGGCGCGCAGGCGGCGUCGUAAGUCGGUCUUAAAAGUGCGGGGCUUAACCCCGUGAGGGGACCGAAACUGCGAUGCUAGAGUAUCGGAGAGGAAAGCGGAAUUCCUAGUGUAGCGGUGAAAUGCGUAGAUAUUAGGAGGAACACCAGUGGCGAAAGCGGCUUUCUGGACGACAACUGACGCUGAGGCGCGAAAGCCAGGGGAGCAAACGGGAUUAGAUACCCUUGUAGUCC
rnacentral:rRNA from 1 species